rnacentral:rRNA from 1 species
GACGAACGCUGGCGGCGUGCUUAACACAUGCAAGUCGAACGAUGAAAGAGGAGCUUGCUUCUCUGGAUUAGUGGCGCACGGGUGAGUAAAACGUGAGCAAUCCGCCCCUGACUCCGGAAUAACUACGGGAAACUGUAGCUAAUACCGGAUAUGAGCCGAACAGGCAUCUGUAUCGGUGGGAAAGAAGUUCGGUCUGGGAUGGGCUCGCGGCCUAUCAGCUUGUUGGUGAGGUAACGAAUCACAAAGGCGACGACGGGUAGCCGGCCUGGGAGGGUGACCGGGCACAUUGGGACUGAGACACGGCGCAGACGCCUACGGGAGGCAGCAGGGGGGAAUAUUGCACAAUGGGCGCAAGCCUGAGGCAGCAGCGCCGCGUGCGUGAUGACGGCCUUCGGGUUAUAAACCUCUUUGAGCAGGGAAGAAGCGAAAGUGACGGUACCUGCAGAAAAAGCGCCGGCUAACUACGUG